GUGAAUCAUCGAAUUUUUGAACGCAAAUUGCACUCUCUUCGGAGAGUAUGCCUGUUUGAGGGUCAGCCUCAAAAAAAUCGACAUAGUUGCUGUUUCGCGGUGACAUUCGUCGGAAAUUGGGUCAUCUCAAACCUUUGGGUUUUACGCGGCUUACAAUUUUCUUUACGAUUCCACGAACCUUUUUAAAAUUUUA
rnacentral:misc_RNA from 1 species